GAGUUUGAUCCUGGCUCAGAUUGAACGCUGGCGGCAGGCCUAACACAUGCAAGUCGAGCGGUAGAGAGAAGCUUGCUUCUCUUGAGAGCGGAGGACGGGUGAGUAAUGCCUAGGAAUCUGCCUGGUAGUGGGGGAUAACGCUCGGAAACGGACGCUAAUACCGCAUGCGUCCUACGGGAGAAAGCAGGGGACCUUCGGGCCUUGCGCUAUCAGAUGAGCCUAGGUCGGAUUAGCUAGUUGGUGAGGUAAUGGCUCACCAAGGCGACGAUCCGUAACUGGUCUGAGAGGAUGAUCAGUCACACUGGAACUGAGACACGGUCCAGACUCCUACGGGAGGCAGCAGUGGGGGAAUAUUGGACAAUGGGCGAAAGCCUGAUCCAGCCAUGCCGCGUGUGUGAAGAAGGUCUUCGGAUUGUAAAGCACUUUAAGUUGGGAGAAGGGCAGUAAAUUAAUAACUUUGCUGUUUUGACGUUACCGACAGAAUAAGACACCGGCUAACUCUGUGCCAG
rnacentral:rRNA from 1 species